CGCCCAAAAGUCAUGCUUUCGUUUUUGGGGUACAUUAUUAUUGUCCCCUAGUAGAAAGAAGUAUACUUAAAAUACAACAUUGGAACCCCUGGUGGCAAAUGGCGGAACUACGCAAAACUGUCAGAUUGGGAUCAGCUGCUGUCAUGAGAAAACAACAAUCGUUGUCCAGCCAAAAAGGUAUAAAAGGAGACGCAUUUCACCCAAUCGGGAUCAGUCUUCUGUUGAUGGCUGGUAAGUCAAGUGUGAUUGGGAGGAAGAAAAGGCGCGCAACCUCGGUUGAAUUGAGUCUUAGUAAGCCAAACAAUAAGCCUUGACUAUUUGUGGUGACUGGACUGGACUGAACGCAGGGUCAAGUGAGGGUUGUAGCAAUACUCCCUAUUCUUCGGGCUGCGUUGACGGCGACUGAACGCAGGGUCAAGUGAGGGUUGUAGCAAUACUCCCUAUUCUUCGGGCUGCGUUGACGGCGACUGAACGCAGGGUCAAGUGAGGGUUGUAGCAAUACUCCCUAUUCUUCGGGCUGCGUUGACGGCGACUGAACGCAGGGUCAAGUGAGGGUUGUAGCAAUACUCCCUAUUCUUCGGGCUGCGUUGACGGCGACUGAACGCAGGGUCAAGUGAGGGUUGUAGCAAUACUCCCUAUUCUUCGGGCUGCGUUGACGGCGACUGAACGCAGGGUCAAGUGAGGGUUGUAGCAAUACUCCCUAUUCUUCGGGCUGCGUUGACGGCGACUGAACGCAGGGUCAAGUGAGGGUUGUAGCAAUACUCCCUAUUCUUCGGGCUGCGUUGACGGCGACUGAACGCAGGGUCAAGUGAGGGUUGUAGCAAUACUCCCUAUUCUUCGGGCUGCGUUGACGGCGACUGAACGCAGGGUCAAGUGAGGGUUGUAGCAAUACUCCCUAUUCUUCGGGCUGCGUUGACGGCGACUGAACGCAGGGUCGAGUGAGGGCUGUAGCAAUACUCCCUAUUCUUCGGGCUGCGUUGACGGCGACUGACGUACUCAUCGGGCUGCUGCUGUGCCCAAGCUGCCGCCACCCGAUUCGUCGUGCGCGUAUUCAUCGGGCCGCCGCUGUGCCAAGCUGCCGCCACUACUACUCGCCGCUGACGUAUUCAUCGGGCCGCCGCUGUGCCAAAGCCGCCGCCACCCUAUUCGCCGCUCGCCUAUUCAUCGGGCCGCCGCUGUGCCAAAGCCGCCGCCACCCUAUUCGCCGCUCGCCUAUUCAUCGGGCCGCCGCUGUGCCAAAGCCGCCGCCACCCUAUUCGUCGCUCGCCUAUUCAUCGGGCCGCCGCUGUGCCAAGCUGCCGCCACUACCACUCGCCGCUGACGUAUUCAUCGGGCCGCCGCUGUGCCAAGCUGCCGCCACUACUACUCGCCGCUGACGUAUUCAUCGGGCCGCCACUGUGCCAAAGCUGCCGCCACUACUACUCGCCGCUGACGUAUUCAUCGGGCCGCCGCUGUGCCAAAGCCGCCGCCACCCUAUUCGCCGCUCGCCUAUUCAUCGGGCCGCCGCUGUGCCAAAGCCGCCGCCACCCUAUUCGCCGCUCGCCUAUUCAUCGGGCCGCCGCUGUGCCAAAGCCGCCGCCACCCUAUUCGUCGCUCGCCUAUUCAUCGGGCCGCCGCUGUGCCAAGCUGCCGCCACUACUACUCGCCGCUGACGUAUUCAUCGGGCCGCCACUGUGCCAAAGCCGCCGCCACCCUAUUCGUCGCUCGCCUAUUCAUCGGGCCGCCGCUGUGCCAAGCUGCCGCCACUACUACUCGCCGCUGACGUAUUCAUCGGGCCGCCGCUGUGCCACAGCCGCCGCCACCCUAUUCGUCGCUCGCCUAUUCAUCGGGCCGCCGCUGUGCCAAGCUGCCGCCACUACUACUCGCCGCUGACGUAUUCAUCGGGCCGCCGCUGUGCCAAAGCCGCCGCCACCCUAUUCGUCGCUCGCCUAUUCAUCGGGCCGCCGCUGUGCCAAGCUGCCGCCACUCUAUUCGUCGCUCGCCUAUUCAUCGGGCCGCCGCUGUGCCAAGCUGCCACCACUGCUACCCGUUUAUUAACAUUUCGACUGAACUUUGUGAUUUAGUGUUCUUCGUAAAAAGUUCUGAACGUGAUUUUAUUGUGUUUAGUGUAGUGUUUAGUGUUAUUUAAGGAAAUAAAUUUAUAACGUUUUAAGAAAAUAUUUUUGCUUCGCUCUCUCUCUCUUUAUGUCCUAACAAAUAAAUUUUUGUGACGACUCUGGCCCCCGCUGAACCUACCCCAGCUUCAAAGUGAAAACACGUCGUCACAAUGGCGCCCGAGCAGGGACCAUAAAAGAGAGAAAGAAUAAAUAAAUGAGUGAACAAUAAUUAGACAAAUACAGAUGAAAACCCAGUGAAAAAAAAAAACAGUUAAAAAAAAAAAAAAAAAAAAAAACUGAAACAAGUAAAAAUAAUAAAAAAAAAAAAAAAAAAAAAAAAUGUCAAACGAAAAGACAAUGUUGAAGGUCUCCUGGGCCUAUAUGCUAAAGCAAGAAGACUUGGUAACAUAUCUUACUGAAUUCAAUCUUGAUCCAGUUGGAAAAGUGGACGAUCUCCGAAAAAGAUGGGCUAAAUUUCUCCACAACGACCAUGAAGCCGAUGUAUACAGACGGCUUAUAGAGUUGCAGAACAAACAUGAAAGUACCAGUCCGACCAAAUCGCCGACAUUGCGAGCCGUCACAAAACAACCCCUUAUAACCGUAACACCGUGUGGAGCAGAAGCAAUAGUAUUAUCCCCAAUAAAAACAGAGUACGCCCUUCCCCACAUUUCCGCGGAAAGGUCACAUGGAGAGUCAAGCACAGGGGUAACAAACGAUCAAAAAGUACAGAAGAUGUCGCCAACAAACCCCGAAUAUGGAUUUCAAAAAGAUUCUCCGCCCAAGCCAUCCAAUAAUUCGUCGUUACUCGUAAUUCUCGACCAAAUCCGAAAAUGGAAUAUUACUUUUGAAAAUGGAAUGGACCCUAUUGGAUUCGUAGAACGUGUAGAAGAAAUGGCUGAAAUGUACAUCGUGGAAUUGAAUCAAAUAAUUAAAGUAAUGCCAGAGUUGUUACGAGGUAAAGCUUUAAUCUGGCUAAGGAACAACAACCGACACUGGACUACCUGGAACGAAUUUAAGAGUGAUUUUCUGAAAUUCUUUUUGCCACCGAGAUACUUUGAGAAAUUGGAGGAUGAAAUUAGGAGAAGGAUACAGCGUAAUAAGGAGCCGUUUAAGGAAUAUGUACUCUCUAUACAGCAUCUUAUGCAGCACACCAAUAUGACCGAAGAACAAAAAUUGGAACGAAUUUUUAGAAACGCGCAUUCGGAUUAUCAAUGGUACAUUCGCCGUAAAGACUUUACCACACUUUCGGAAUUGAUCUCCUUGGCAGACGAACUCGAAAGCAUACCAAAUAAUUCUCGGUCAGAACAGCCUCGAAAUCAACAAAACUAUAAUCGACGUGCGGACAACUCUAGAAAUAACCUGUAUUGCACCAAUCAAGGUGACCAAGUGCUAAACGAAAGCUCAUCCAAUCCAGAAACGCAGCAGGAUGAACCCCCGGCAAAGAAGAGUAACCAGAAUAUUACAUCAUUGCAAUGUGAAGAAUAUCGCCUUACUGCAACUGUCUUAAUAGAGGGGAAAGCUAUUAAAGCAACUGUCGACACUGGUGCCACUAGCUGUUUUAUAAAAAGAGAAUUUGCGAAAAAAAUCAAGAAAAGGUUUACUUAUUCACGGCAUGAGGCAAAUGUUAUCCUCGCAGACGGCACCACGGUGAACAUCACAAGAUCAACAGUGUUACCUGUUACAUUUGGAAACCAAAGCUCAGAUGUUACAUUUCUCAUCAUGCCGCAAUUCAAGGAAAACAUCAUAUUGGGAUUGGAAUUUCUAAAACAGUUCCACACGACCAUUCACUGCGCCGGUAUAAGUGUCAAAUUAAGUAAGCCAACCACAUCAACGGAGCAUUGUACCGUGGCUAUAGGAGAGGAAACCCCAUCAAAAGAGGUAAUAGAUACAAUGACAGCUACGAAUAAUGUAUCCCCCAGACCUAAAUUCUUAAACGAUGAAUUGAGUAAAACGCAAUGUGAGAUCGUUGAAAAUUUUCUGGCACAGGAACUCCCUAAGUUCCAACAAUUAAAUGGCCUAUCGUCAAUAGCUGAACAUAAGAUUGUAAUGACCGACGAUCGACCCAUUAAAUUAAGAUAUGCUCCGCGAAAUCCUGCAAUGCAAGCCGUGAUUAAUGCCGAAGUGAGAAAGCUCGAAGAACGAGGAUGUAUAGAGCCGUCUACAAGCCCAUACUGUUUCCCCAUCACAUUAGUCAGAAAGAAAAAUGGGAAUUGGAGAACUUGUAUGGAUUUUCGCCAAUUGAAUAAACGUUCUGUUCCAGAUGCCUACCCUUUACCCCGCAUCGACACAAUACUGAAUCGACUACGGGAUGCCAAAUACGUGAGUAGCCUGGACCUUAAAGACGGAUAUUGGCAAAUACCGAUGGCGAAGGAGAGCAGAAAAUACACGGCCUUUGCGGUAGCUGGUAAAGGUCUAUAUCAGUGGAAAGUGAUGCCUUUCGGUUUGCAUUCAGCACCGGCAACCUUCCAACGGGCAUUAGAUAGUGUGAUUGGGCCUGAAAUGGACCCCCACGCUUUUGCAUACCUUGACGAUAUCAUCGUCAUUGGAAAAACGUUUGAGGAACACUUGCGGAACUUGAGAGAAGUGUUCAGAAGAUUGCGAUCAGCUAACCUGAGAAUAAACAUUGAGAAAUGCGAAUUUUUCAGAAAAGAAACGAAGUAUUUAGGCCAUGUUGUGAGUAGCGAGGGAAUAAAGACGGAUUCAGAUAAAGUUGCCGCAAUAGUGGAAAUGAAACCUCCAACAUCGGUAAAGGAGGUACGAAGAUUUCUUGGAGUAGCAUCUUGGUACCGAAGAUUUGUCCCACAGUUUGCAACAAUUUCACAACCAUUGACUAGUCUUCUUAAAAAGGGAAAACAUUGGAAGUGGGGUCCCGAACAACAAGAAGCAUUCUCAGACCUAAAAGCAAAGUUAACUGAAGCCCCCGUUCUGGCUUGUCCGGAUUUCACAAAGACGUUCAUAUUGCAAACUGAUGCCAGCAACUAUGGCCUUGGAGCAGUUCUAACACAGGAGUUAGAUAACGUGGAACGUGUCAUAGCCUACGCCAGCAGACAUUUAAAACAGGCUGAAAAGAACUACUCAGCGACUGAAAAGGAAUGUCUAGCCAUACUGUGGGGCAUCAGACACAUGAGACCCUAUUUAGAGGGUUACCAGUUUAUAGUUAUUACCGAUCAUUUGGCCCUAAAAUGGUUAAAUUCUAUUGAAAGCCCUACAGGUCGACUCGCACGUUGGGCUCUCGAGCUACAGCAAUAUAAUUUUUUGAUCAGAUACCGUAGAGGAAAACAGAACGUUGUGGCGGAUGCGCUUUCGAGAACACCUUUGGAAACGUUAGACCUAGCCACAGUAAAAUAUGACACCAGUCCGUGCCCAUGGCUAGAAAAGUUGAAGGAAACCAUAACCAAGAAUCCGAAGAAGUAUCCAGACUAUACAAUCAUUGAGGGAAAUGUUUAUCGACAUCUUCCCAAGCAAAUAAACGAUGAAGAUUGCACACCAUGGAAGCUGUGUGUGCCCACCGGAUCAAGGAUUCAGGUCCUUAGAGAAAAUCAUGACAGUGUCACCGGAGGUCAUUUGGGAGUGCGAAAGACUAGCAACAAGGUGGCGAACCGAUAUUUUUGGCCUGGUAUGUUCCAGGACAUCAAACGUUAUGUCCAGCAGUGCGAAUGUUGCCAAAAAUAUAAAGUCAGCCAACAGAAACCAGCAGGGGAAAUGUUGAUAAGAAUCCCGGAGGAACCAUGGGCCACUAUUUGUGCGGACUUCGUAGGACCCCUACCGCGAUCUAAGCACGGUAACUCAAUGCUACUCGUUAUUAUGGAUAGAUUCUCAAAAUGGACGGAGUUGGUUCCAUUGCGGAAGGCUACGACAGAGGGAUUAAUAAAGGCAUGCAGAGAAAGAAUUAUUUCUAGAUAUGGGGUUCCAAAAAUAUUGAUAACUGAUAACGGAACCCAAUUCACUAGCAACCAAUUCGAAAAAUUCCUAGCAGAAAUGGGUAUAAAGCAUCAACUUACGGCUCCUUACACCCCGCAAGAGAACCCUACUGAAAGGACAAAUCGGACAGUGAAAACAAUGAUAGCACAAGUUUCGAAACAACAUAAUACAUGGGACGAUAUGCUGCCCGAAAUAAUGUUAGCCAUAAACACUAGUGCAUCAGAAUCCACUGGAUAUUCGCCGGCAUACCUGACACAAGGAAGAGAACCGCGACUGCCCCAGGCAUUAUAUGAUCAGCUCACAACAGGAACUGGUGCUAGAAUAGUCUUACCAGAAGACCGGGCCCAGGAGUUGAAAGAAAUAUUUAAGAUAGUGCGUCGAAACUUGGCAAAAGCAUCUCAAAACCAGCGGAGACAGUACAACCUUAGACGACGAGUUUGGAAACCAAAGAUUGGGGAGCAAGUUCUAGUUCGUCUACAUCCUCAGUCGAAGGCCGUCGAAAAUUUCGCCGCCAAACUAGCGCCCAAAUACGGAGGGCCGUUUGUCGUACAAAAAUUCCAAUCUCCAGUAAUCGUUGUAGUCCGAGGAAAAGACAACAUCACUUAAGUGAAAUUAAGCCUUUUUAUGAAGAACAAAAUUAAAUGGUAGACAUAGAAGUAGAAUGUUGAUUGUAGUUCCACUUACGUUUAUGUGAUGCCAUUUCAUUAUAAUUUCUUACUUUAUUUUUAGACAUUAAAUUGACAAUACCCAAACUAAUCAGUGUCCUAAUAUAAGCCCAUACUUCAAAGACCAUCGCAAUUCUCAAAAUUUCAACAUCACGAUGGAGCAAGAUAGCCCCAACACGAAAAAAUUCAAACGGGCGAAGGAGAAUAAUAGCACACCAAGUACAAUCAAAUUGCCAGUCACUGAAAUCCCAACUGAGUCAACGCCAUCGUCCUCGACAGACAAUCCCGUGAACAAUAACACAUUUCUCGAACUGCCAAAUUAUCCCGAAAACCUACAAAGCCGUAUCGAGAAGUUUAAAAACAAUUGGAAAAAGGGACACAAACUGAAGCGAAUUGUUAAACAAGAUGGCAAGCAGUACCGCAUAAUAAUAUCAGCAGACGGGGUAGUGAAGGUAUCUCUCCGAACUUCUGCAAUUGGUCUCUAACAUACCUUCCUAUUCGACCGAGAUAUAGUCGAACCAAAGUGCCCAUGUCGGAGAAAUAAAAGGUUACAUAACACCCUAGGGCUUCCUGGCUAUUGAAACCCAAUAGCAAUAGAGAAAGCAAAUCAAGGAAUCAAAAAUCAGAGGGAGGAAGAGAUGCCAUGUAACGCCCAAAAGUCAUGCUUUCGUUUUUGGGGUACAUUAUUAUUGUCCCCUAGUAGAAAGAAGUAUACUUAAAAUACAACAUUGGAACCCCUGGUGGCAAAUGGCGGAACUACGCAAAACUGUCAGAUUGGGAUCAGCUGCUGUCAUGAGAAAACAACAAUCGUUGUCCAGCCAAAAAGGUAUAAAAGGAGACGCAUUUCACCCAAUCGGGAUCAGUCUUCUGUUGAUGGCUGGUAAGUCAAGUGUGAUUGGGAGGAAGAAAAGGCGCGCAACCUCGGUUGAAUUGAGUCUUAGUAAGCCAAACAAUAAGCCUUGACUAUUUGUGGUGACUGGACUGGACUGAACGCAGGGUCAAGUGAGGGUUGUAGCAAUACUCCCUAUUCUUCGGGCUGCGUUGACGGCGACUGAACGCAGGGUCAAGUGAGGGUUGUAGCAAUACUCCCUAUUCUUCGGGCUGCGUUGACGGCGACUGAACGCAGGGUCAAGUGAGGGUUGUAGCAAUACUCCCUAUUCUUCGGGCUGCGUUGACGGCGACUGAACGCAGGGUCAAGUGAGGGUUGUAGCAAUACUCCCUAUUCUUCGGGCUGCGUUGACGGCGACUGAACGCAGGGUCAAGUGAGGGUUGUAGCAAUACUCCCUAUUCUUCGGGCUGCGUUGACGGCGACUGAACGCAGGGUCAAGUGAGGGUUGUAGCAAUACUCCCUAUUCUUCGGGCUGCGUUGACGGCGACUGAACGCAGGGUCAAGUGAGGGUUGUAGCAAUACUCCCUAUUCUUCGGGCUGCGUUGACGGCGACUGAACGCAGGGUCAAGUGAGGGUUGUAGCAAUACUCCCUAUUCUUCGGGCUGCGUUGACGGCGACUGAACGCAGGGUCAAGUGAGGGUUGUAGCAAUACUCCCUAUUCUUCGGGCUGCGUUGACGGCGACUGAACGCAGGGUCAAGUGAGGGUUGUAGCAAUACUCCCUAUUCUUCGGGCUGCGUUGACGGCGACUGAACGCAGGGUCGAGUGAGGGCUGUAGCAAUACUCCCUAUUCUUCGGGCUGCGUUGACGGCGACUGACGUACUCAUCGGGCUGCUGCUGUGCCCAAGCUGCCGCCACCCGAUUCGUCGUGCGCGUAUUCAUCGGGCCGCCGCUGUGCCAAGCUGCCGCCACUACUACUCGCCGCUGACGUAUUCAUCGGGCCGCCGCUGUGCCAAAGCCGCCGCCACCCUAUUCGCCGCUCGCCUAUUCAUCGGGCCGCCGCUGUGCCAAAGCCGCCGCCACCCUAUUCGCCGCUCGCCUAUUCAUCGGGCCGCCGCUGUGCCAAAGCCGCCGCCACCCUAUUCGUCGCUCGCCUAUUCAUCGGGCCGCCGCUGUGCCAAGCUGCCGCCACUACCACUCGCCGCUGACGUAUUCAUCGGGCCGCCGCUGUGCCAAGCUGCCGCCACUACUACUCGCCGCUGACGUAUUCAUCGGGCCGCCACUGUGCCAAAGCUGCCGCCACUACUACUCGCCGCUGACGUAUUCAUCGGGCCGCCGCUGUGCCAAAGCCGCCGCCACCCUAUUCGCCGCUCGCCUAUUCAUCGGGCCGCCGCUGUGCCAAAGCCGCCGCCACCCUAUUCGCCGCUCGCCUAUUCAUCGGGCCGCCGCUGUGCCAAAGCCGCCGCCACCCUAUUCGUCGCUCGCCUAUUCAUCGGGCCGCCGCUGUGCCAAGCUGCCGCCACUACUACUCGCCGCUGACGUAUUCAUCGGGCCGCCACUGUGCCAAAGCCGCCGCCACCCUAUUCGUCGCUCGCCUAUUCAUCGGGCCGCCGCUGUGCCAAGCUGCCGCCACUACUACUCGCCGCUGACGUAUUCAUCGGGCCGCCGCUGUGCCACAGCCGCCGCCACCCUAUUCGUCGCUCGCCUAUUCAUCGGGCCGCCGCUGUGCCAAGCUGCCGCCACUACUACUCGCCGCUGACGUAUUCAUCGGGCCGCCGCUGUGCCAAAGCCGCCGCCACCCUAUUCGUCGCUCGCCUAUUCAUCGGGCCGCCGCUGUGCCAAGCUGCCGCCACUCUAUUCGUCGCUCGCCUAUUCAUCGGGCCGCCGCUGUGCCAAGCUGCCACCACUGCUACCCGUUUAUUAACAUUUCGACUGAACUUUGUGAUUUAGUGUUCUUCGUAAAAAGUUCUGAACGUGAUUUUAUUGUGUUUAGUGUAGUGUUUAGUGUUAUUUAAGGAAAUAAAUUUAUAACGUUUUAAGAAAAUAUUUUUGCUUCGCUCUCUCUCUCUUUAUGUCCUAACAAAUAAAUUUUUGUGACGACUCUGGCCCCCGCUGAACCUACCCCAGCUUCAAAGUGAAAACACGUCGUCACAAUAUACUUGGGGUAUUGACAUUAUCAGCAUGUAUUUUUGCACUAAUCGAAUUUGAAUUUAGUGAAGCUGUCAAAAUACCCUGCAUCGUGAGCAGUGUCUUAAGUUGCAUUCUAUUUCUCACAAGUAUUUUGGGGUGCUGUGGCGCCCAAAAGAAAUCUGCGAAAGCAACAUGGGCUUACUCCAUAAUAAUGUUACUGCUGAUGGCAGCUCAAAUUGCUGUGAUUUUUGUACAACCCAUUAAUUUCAAUAACUUUUCGACUGAAGUAAUUGACAAGGCGUGGAAUGUCACCGACAUCAAAAAGGAUUAUCUAAUGACUUCGUAUGAAAUAAAGUAUGAAUGUUGUGGAAAAUUUGGACCUUCGGAUUACACAGACCUGAAUGUAACAAUACCCCUCAGUUGUUAUAGAAAUCAUAAUAAUCGCAUCGAUACAAAUCUCCUCGAUGUGGGUUGCAUUGACAAACUUAAUGCAAUGUUUUCAUCCAAUCAACGAAUUGAAGAAAUAAGUGAUUGGACUUUGGCCGGUUUGGAGGGAGUAUCGGCAUUGGUUGGUGGAAUGCUGGCAAUAACAUUACAAAAUAUCGAAAGACGAAAAUAUUAUCACUGAGAAGUGGGUACUCAAUCGACGAAACUUAGUUCCUAAAAUAAAAUUGUAUUUAUUUUCAAAACACUUUCGAAGAUAUUUAGGCAAAGCAUUUGAUUGCAAAUCACAACAAUGUAUAUAAAAAAUGUAAAUUUAAAUUAUACAUAUCUAAAACAGUGUAUGCCAGAAAAUUAGAACAGUAUUUUGUAAUUAUUAUAUUUUGUAUUAAUGCUAAUUAAAAUUUAAAUAAAAUGUACAGUUUGUUCCAUAUAAAA